AAGCUACUUAAUUGUACUUUAUGCAUGCCAAGGUGUAGCUAGACAAUAAAACCAUCGGGAGCUAUUUUCUCAGAAAUAUGCCAUGCACAUCUUAGUGAGGAUACAAAAUAUUUACAAGACUGAUGUGUAUGCUUAGCUUCAUCUCGAGCUCGGACUAUCUGGAUAUAGAAAAGUAUCCUACAUUUGGUGAAGUCUUGAAAAUAUCCCAACUGAGAUAGUAGUGUUACUUGGAAUUUUUUUUCUCAGUUAAAGUAUUUCAUUGUAAUAUCAAGGCCAACUUGGCAAUAUACAAGAAAUAUACCUAAAAGGAGAAACCUACAAUAUAUGGUUCUCUCCAAAAGGCACCCAAUCCUCUAUACAAACAAGAACUACACGGGUGCACCAAAAAAACUACAAGGGAUUGAAGACUACUCCUACAUCGAGCGAAGUUCAUCUCCACCCCUUCAAAAGCCUCCUAUUUCUGUCUUUCCAAAUGAUCCACAUUAUAAUCCACAGGCAUAAACAUAUGUAUAUGGUAUCACAAGGAAUAGAUGUACAAUUCAUCUUGGAAGAUGAGCUUCAAAAGCACUAGCUAUUCUGCAGACACGCUUGAUAAUAGCUUGUACAAAAACCUCUCCUAAGGGGUAGGUCAUUUGGUUCAAACCAUGAUAUCUCAAGAUUAUAAUUAAUCCACCUUCUAUAUGGGAUAAGUUAUACUAAGAUUUUGGUAAAAAAUAAUACUAAUUUUAGCUAAUACCUCCAACCAAACACGGGAUAAAUUUAAUCACAAAAUUUGUUCCGGGAUAGCCCACCUAAUUCGUUGAACCAAAUGGCACUAAGAGGUUGGAUUAGGGGUCGAAAAAGGAAAUCAACUUUGAAGUAAGCUCAAUACAUAAGGAGCAGCAAAUAACAACCCAAAAGAGUUCCUUUAUUCCCAUUCUAACUUGAAAUAUUUUGUAAACUACAGAUAGCUCUAAGGUCCCCCUUGCUCCAAUAAGUCAGCAUUUUGGGUUUAGAUAUUCUAAGAGAAAGAUUUAACAACGCUUGAACGACCGGAGGCAGAGCAAGGGAUUCUAACAAGG
rnacentral:lncRNA from 1 species